UAAGUUUAUAAUUAUAUCAUGCUAAGUCAUUUUGUAUCGCGAUAAGUUGUAACUUAUGUGAUAUAUUUAUAUUUACCGUCUUAACUCAUUUAUUAUAUUAUAUAUAAAA
rnacentral:sRNA from 1 species